GACGAACGCUGGCGGCGUGCUUAACACAUGCAAGUCGAGCGGAAAGGCCCUUCGGGGUACUCGAGCGGCGAACGGGUGAGUAACACGUGAGCAACCUGCCCCAAGCUUUGGGAUAACCCU
rnacentral:rRNA from 1 species